UUUCGGAUUUUCCCUCCUCCUCACAUCGCAAAUGUCCUAGCCCUUGCUCUAACCAGUUCAAGACUGAUUUUCUCAUCAUACCUUCAAACGCCGCCGGUCCCAUCUCCUUCCUCCAUCUUCGCAUCUCAUCUGCCGUUUCCCUGCUCACUAUCCCCCCUGUAGACAUCACCACUGCCUUAAACAUCCCAGAGAGAGACACUGGUUUAGGACGUGGCUGGUGAGAGAGCUGGAAGCUGUUAUGGGUUAGGAAGUUGGAGGGCGGAAGCUACGCACACGAGGGAGUGCAUGUGCCCAGUUUAUUUUUGUCUGGCUUGCUUUAAACGGGGUCAUGGAACUACAUGUGCAUCGUAAAGCGACCUUUGUCAAGCCCUUGGUGGCCUCUUAUCGUUCUUCCAAUGAUAUCUCUGUACGUCUUUCAAUCAGAGACUGCCGGGAGGGUUGCGUACAUGGCAAGGCAAUCGUGCAAACAAGGUUGCCAUGUUCGGAGUUCAGAAAGGAUGAAGCAAUUAUCUGACAUCCAUUGUUCACUGAGACUUUAGGCCUGGCAGUAUGUUAACAAUACGAUUAUGUUGAUGGAUGUGAUGAUCCCCAGUUUUCUCAUUUGACUGAUCUUGCAUAAACUACCAUAACCUCAUGGUCAUGCAUCGCUCAUUUUGCAUAUG
rnacentral:sRNA from 1 species